GUUAAACGCGACGUCCCAGCAAGCCACAAAUAAGCAAAGCCCGUCAAUCACGCGCAAGAACAAGAUUAACUCGUUUCGAUCCUAUCCCAAGUCCAACCCUAAUCUCAUCUCUUCCCGCAAAAUCGAAAUCUUAAAACCAGAAGGAUUUUAAAUCCCAAACAGUUUCGUCUCAAACGAGAUUCCAUGCAACUCUGCUUCUCCCUCAUCGCCCUCUCCACGGAGGACUCUCUUGCUUUCGCCACGAAAAUCGUUCUUUCUUUUCACCACACUUCACAAUUCGCCAACCAUGUCCUCCGAUUCCCAUGUCCCUAAGGGCAUCCUCUGCAAUGCUGGCGCUGGUGCUGCCGCUGGAGUUAUUGCUGCUACGUUUGUGUGUCCUUUAGAUGUAAUCAAAACUAGGUUUCAGGUCAAUUCCGUGCCUCAGGUCGCAAAUGGAAGUGUUAAAGGCAGUCUUAUAAUUGGUAGCUUGGAGCAAAUAUUUCACAAGGAGGGAUGGCGUGGCAUGUACCGUGGGCUAGGCCCAACUGUGCUUGCCUUGCUUCCGAACUGGGCGGUCUAUUUUACAAUGUAUGAACAGCUCAAGAGCCUACUUUGUUCUGAAGAUGAAAGCCAUCAUCUUUCCAUUGGAGCUAAUGUGGCAGCUGCUUCAGGUGCAGGAGCUGCAACUACCAUUGCUACAUAUCCACUUUGGGUUGUCAAGACUAGACUCCAAACCCAGGUAAGCAGACCUGGUGUUGUGCCAUAUAGGAGCACGCUAUCAGCUUUAAAGAGAAUUGCUCAUGAGGAGGGCUUUCGGGGGUUGUACAGUGGCCUUGUACCUGCUCUGGUUGGUAUCAGUCAUGUUGCCAUCCAGUUUCCAAUAUAUGAGAAAAUAAAGUUGUAUUUGGCAAAUAAAGAUAACACAGCAAUGGAUAAGCUCAGUGCACGUGAUGUUGCAAUUGCCUCAUCAGUCUCCAAAAUUUUUGCAUCUACAUUGACAUAUCCUCAUGAGGUUUGUUGCUGAAUGACUAAGGCAGAUUUGUUAAAGAUACGCAUAAUCAUAGAUACUCGUACUUAUAGUUGCCCAGCCUUGUGAAUGAAAUGAUGUUGCGAUUCAUAAAAAUCAAUUUCAAUGCUUAAAGCAUUUUAUAAAAGGGAAAACUGUUUUCAGCUCCAUUAAACUGUUUCCAAAGAUAUUUUGAAGUUGUGUCAAUUAUUCCCUAAUAUUUAAAUAUUACCUAAAUAGGUUCUUCUGUUCAGCUUUUGUUUGGUCGCUGACAGAUCUCUUUGGCUAUAUCCAAUCCAUCCAGAUGUGUUAAUCUAGACGGUUGAAUAAUUUGUGAAUUAGAGUUUAAUCUUAAUGAAUUUUUAAAUCUUCCAAAUUUAAAAUCUGUGUGGUAGAUUCAUAUAUCUUUGAUCAAACUAAAUAGCUUGCUUGAAGGCUACUUGGGGUGAAUGGAUACAUGCUUUACUUUCUCACUCUAUGUCCUGGCUGCUUUUGUCCUGUAUUCCCUCCACCUUAAACACAGGUCUUUCUUGCGCUGCAAAAAUUGAUGUAGGAAGAAGCUCAUAUGUUCAAUUCACUUUGAAUGUAUCCCAAUCAAUGUUAUAAAACUUGGAAAAGUCAUUGACUUGGUCAAAGUAGGAGUCACUGGAACACCGGUUAUUCGUUCGAGACUGCAAGUACAGGGGCACCAUUCAGUGAAGCAAUACUCUGGUAUGACCGACUGCAUUAGAAAGUUGCACAGGGGGAGAUAUGCUAUACCUCAGCACCAUUGUUGCUCAAGUGCUCGGUAGUGGGAUGUUAUGUGUGCCUUUGGGGAGGUACUGAAUGUGACCCCAUAUCAUCUUGCCCAAGAAAGGCGUAGCGAUGCGGGGCAGUCCCAACUUUGAGGACUAGUAGGCCAUGCUCAAACUUAGGUUGAACGCAACUACCCUAAAAGAAAACAUGUAGUGUGCCACAUGCUUUUUAGAGAGUACGCGAGAGAUCGUUUUGGAACCGAGGUUGAAGGAAACGGAAGAGAGAAGAGUAAACACAUGCUUUGGUCAUUGACAAAAAUCACCUAAUCGAAUUUGAUCUUCAAAGAAAAAAGAAAGUUACUUAAGAGUCCGUCAAGUUGUAACCGUGAGAUACUUUAAUUCUUCAAUCAUUUGUAUCUUUUUUAGUACUUAAUUAGUCCUUGAAAAAGUAAUUGUUAAU